rnacentral:lncRNA from 1 species
CUAUGUCAUUGGUAAGGUGUUCUUUGACCGUAGAACAUUUUGAACGAAGCCACACCCCCUUUUUUACCGCAAACACAACUCUGGAGAAUCGUCUGUAGUUUUCAUAGUUUCACCAAACAGUGCCAAACACAUUUACUAAAACUUACUCUUAGAUAACUACAAUAACUUAUCUAAUUUUUAUUUGUUAAAUUAACUUGAAAAACUAAAGUGUAAGUGCAACGACAUGAGUGGAUUUGCGAAAAAGCAAGAAAGUGCUAAAUUUUUUUCCAAAUGUGUGGAUGACCUGGAUAUCAAAAAUAUUUGUGAAAAGAUAGAUGCUGAAUUUCCCGACCCGGAGCCUGACUAUAUACCAACACCAUUGAAUUUUGGUAUUUCUUUACCGAAUAAUAUUGACAUAUUUCAGUCAGCAGAUUGGUGGGAUUUGCCACCAGGCCUCAUGUGUAGCAAUUGCUACAAUCAGGUUCCAAACACCUAUCCCAUACGGCAACACUCAGAACGUGUAUGUCUUAGUUGUAAACGAGAAACCUUUCCCCUAAAAACUAGGAGGCAUAAGUUUAGGAUGAAAAAAAUGAGAUUCCCUCCAAUAACAAAUUUGGCAGUGAAUCACAUUGCUGUAAUCGGACGCCAAUCCCGCGGGAAAUGUCUUCAAAGUGAUUGCUUCCAUGAGCUUGUGAAGUUUACAAGAUGUUGGCAAAAUUUCCCACAUCGAAAUACAAUGACGCAAAAUCUUGUCGGUAUUUCGGUGGACAUGGAUCUGCCUUGGCUUUGCAUUCGACGAUGACUCAUCAUUUGAAUAAAAAUUCAAAAAAAGAAACCUUUGAACCAUUCUCGUACAUUUUACCACGUGUAAAUUUUAACUACCGUCCUGGAAUUGAUAAAAUUACCAUUGUAUUCUACAAAUUUUCCGCUUUAACUGUUAAACCAAGUAAUCUGAUUUCUUUCAUUUUGGAUUUCAUGGAAAUUAAAAUUCCACCUAAGGAUGUAAUUUUUGUGGCAUAUGGCCAUGCUAGUUUCAACUCGUCAACCAUUUUUUCACCAAUUGUUCUCAACGGAACAAAUUGUUGACAACAUUAAUAAAUCGCGAAUCAACAGCAUGGUUGGAAUCAAUGAAAUGGGCACCUGGCCGUAACCGGGGAAACAAUUGGAUACAAAAUGCGAACAAUGAAAUAUCAUUUAUGUAAUAUGACGAAGAAAUCGCCAUGGAAAAUUGAUAAACGCUUUCGGGAAAGAUAUCGAAAAAAUUUCGGCAGAUAUUCUGCUUAAUCUUUAUAGAACAUAAAAACUCAAGCUAAGAUAUAACAAUCUUAAAGUGCACAGUUACCCGCAGUUACCCAAGUGCCAUGAAAAAAAAAGACGCUUCCGUAUGUUACGGAAGACAUCAUUACUACUAAAUACAUUAACUAUAAUUACA